GAGGAAAUCAACCUAUAGCUAUCCUUGAAUCUUGGCAUCAGGUGACAUUGCAUCCUUGGACCCAUUGUACAUUGCUGCCGUGGGGCAAAUUUACUUGCGUUUUGCUGGUAAAAAUAUUCCACAUACUUAUUGCUACAUUCCAUGUUCUAAAUAUGGAAUACACUCCAGGUGUUUCGAGUGUUUAUGCAUUUCUACAAUCUAGAAGCUGUCACCUUAAACCGCCCUGCUGAUGCCGAGAACAAAAUUUCUGUACAACAACUUUUAAGUGAGCUUGGACUCUGAAAUUAAUCGUGAUAAAUACUUAGUUCAUAUAAAUUCAUGCAUGUUAAAGGUAUUUCUUGUCAGCGAGUAAUAUAUAAUAAUAACCAAUUUUGAACCUAUAUUUCUCUUUUGUGUGUGUCUUAA
rnacentral:lncRNA from 1 species